UACGAAGGGGGCUAGCGUUGUUCGGAAUUACUGGGCGUAAAGGGCGCGUAGGCGGCCUCGUCCGUCCGGCGUGAAAUGCCUGGGCUCAACCUAGGAAUUGCGCUCGAUACAGCGAGGCUAGAGUGUGGGAGAGGUUGGUGGAAUUCCCAGUGUAGAGGUGAAAUUCGUAGAUAUUGGGAAGAACACCGGUGGCGAAGGCGGCCAACUGGACCACAACUGACGCUGAGGCGCGAAAGCCAGGGGAGCAAACGGG
rnacentral:rRNA from 1 species